rnacentral:rRNA from 1 species
UACGUAGGGUGCGAGCGUUGUCCGGAAUCAUUGGGCGUAAAGAGCUCGUAGGCGGCCUGUCGCGUCGGCUGUGAAAACCCGGGGCUCAACCUCGGGCCUGCAUUCGAUACGGGCAGGCUGGAGUUCGGCAGGGGAGACUGGAAUUCCUGGUGUAGCGGUGAAAUGCGCAGAUAUCGGGAGGAACACCAGUGGCGAAGGCGAUCACCUGGGGUUGUUCUGACGCUGAGGCACGAAAGCCAGGGGAGCGAACGGG